GGGUUAGUACUGUGUGAUUAUUGAUCAUAAAUUAGAACUAUAUUUAAGUCUUUAUUAUUUCUCUCCUCUCUUUAUCUAAAAUCUAUAAUGUCACCUGUUACUAUGCAAUAUUAAUAUGCAAGUUAAUUUCUUGCAGGGUCAGAAAUCUCUGGCUUUGGAUACAGCUAUUGGAAUGUGGCAAUUAUUAUUUGCUGAGAAGUAGUGGCCACUGGUUGAUCAUUGGUGCCAAUUCCUGCAGGCUCGGCAUAACGAAGCAAUAUCUAGGGAUACAUGGUCUCAACUUUUGGAGUUUGCAAAGGUUGUGUGUUGUGGUUUGUGAUGGGAAAAGCUGGAAAUUGCAUCAUCGCAAUUUGUUCAACGGCAGUUGCUGCUACCACUGCUUUUCUUUAUAAGGAAAUUAACAGGUGCGCAAUAUUCUUCUUACCUCUGUUGUGCUGCCACUGCUGCUGUUUUUCUGUCAUGACAGUUCGGUGAUUUUGUUUGCUAGCUUUUUCAAUUUAGGAGAUCAGGUCAUGUGUAUUUGGGGAUAUUUGGUGCCUCUACUAACAGUUUUAUGUUAGGUUGUGUGAUGGGGUUGUUUUUGUUGUGGUCUGAUUGUGACUUCCACUUGCAUUUCCUAGCUUUUGGCCUUUUGGCUUUAUUGUAAUAUUGUACUUUCCUUGCCUCUUUUCAGCAUGUCUUGUGCUUGUUUAAGAGUGUGUUUUAAUAUAUUUAGU